AGCCAGUGCCCACCCCACUUGGAAAUACUCGACUUUCACUGUCAGUGUUAGGGAACCCAGUGGAAAUCUUUUUUCUUGGAAAUUGGAAAUUCUCUAACAAUAACCUGGAAUCAGGAACUCAUUUGUUAUACAUGGACUUUCUUUCAUCUUUGUAAAUUCAGGGCUUGAAACAACAGCUGAUGUAUGAUAACAGGCUCCCGGUCUUUACUGAAUGAGUGAAUGAAUGAAUGGAAAAGUGACUUACACACUCUCUCAAAGUUUGUUGACUUUUGGUUAGUUUUGAAUAAACAAAUAAUGCUCUCACCUUCAGCACAGAUGAUCUGGGCAAAGCCUGGGUAAGUUUGAAAGAUUGGCCUCUUACCACCCUGUGUUCUCACUUGUGCUGGAUUGAGUCAAGAGAGGAGAGGACAGAGAAAAGUGUGAAAAGUUGCAAAGGUGAGGCAUUUGCCUGGCUCAGGAAGCAAUUGGGUGGUAGUAGCAAAUAAGCUGAUCUAAUCAGAAAAAAUACUGUGACUACUAGGGGGGAAGCCUAAGGGGACACCCAGACCUUAGUCACUCGGCCUCUGGUUCCUAGAGACUCAAUAGCCUUAUCUUUUCUAGCACUUGUCCACCAAGUCGACUUCUUUUCCAACCAAGCUGGGCCCUUGGGUACUGGAUCCUUCUUCUCACACCCAGGAAGUUUACUGGUUUAUUUAUUAUAAGCCAAGAAGAGACUAGGGAAGUAUGCAGGCUACACAUCUUUGCUAAGCCCCAAGCCAGUAUGGUCCAUGUUUCAAAACCAAAACAGCUGCUUUAUUCCCCUCCCCCAGUCCUUUACUAGCUAGUUGUCGGCUUGCUGCCAUUAACAUGCUUGUUAUAACUGGUAGCCACUGGAUUCUUCCAUACUUAAGUGUGGGCAGCUGUUAACAAGAGAACACUUGCCUGGAGAAGCCAGAGAGCAUGGGAGGGAAUGAGUGUUUUAUAUAGUCAAAAACAGAUGACUAAGAACUACAUCAAGAAAUCCAUAAUACUCCCAGCUGCUUACCACAUGAAUUUGUAAUAUCUUCCCAGGAGAAGUUCUAACAGUACAGAAGGUGAGUGACCAUCCCAAGGUCACGAAGAGACCAAAUUACUUGUAAAGAGCGGAUCUCGACUCUGGAGUUCUAGCAGGAGAAAGGUCCACACCCAAUCUUUUCAUACAGGGAGGGAAAAGCCUUAAAUGCCAGAGGGGCCAACACAAGGCAUCAGGCUACUGCUUCAAGCCUGAGUUCUGAAAGGUUUGCCAAACAUUCACCCAUCCUCAUCUUAAAUUCAAAGACAGUCCUGUUUAAAUCCCUGGUUUAAAAGGUGAACUUUCAGGGGAACCUGGGUGGCACAGUUGGUUGGGUGUCCAACUCCUGGUUUUGGCUUGGUCCUGAUCUUGGGGUUGAGGGAUCUAGCCCCGAGUUGGGAUCCCUGCUCAGUGUGGAGUCUGCUUGAGAUUCUCUCUCUUCCUCUCUGUCUGCCCCCUUCACUUUGCACCCACGUGCGUGUGUGCUCUCUCUCUCUCCUUCAAAUAAAUAAAUCUUUAAAAAUAAAAGGUGAACUGAAUCCAGGCAUAUUCAGUCAGAAGCCCAUUUAAAAAGGCCUGCAGGAGUGGGGGCAGCUGGGGGGUUCAGGUCAUGAUCUUGGCCGCUGGGAUUAAGCCUUGCAUUGCACUCCCUGCUCAACAGGGGAGUCUGCUUUCUCUCUCUUUCUCCUGCCCAUCCCCCAGUUCAUGCUCUCUCCCACUCACUCUCUCUCAAAUAAAAAUAAAUAAAAUCUUAAAUAAAUAAAUAAAAAGGCCUCCUGGAUCAGACACAGAUCCUGUUUUCCUCCUACCCUCUGCACCCAUCUGUGUAUUACUAGGCUGAAGGAGAAACCCUUUCAGCCAGUUGAAUUAGUAACUAGUUUGUAACUUGAAUUAGUGACAGUCGAGUUGGUCGAGAUACUUUUUCACAAACCCGGAGCAAGUCUCCUAAGCUAACCAGGGGCACUGGCUCCAAAAGCUUGUGCUGAUGAGUGUAGGGAAUGUGCUUAACAAAAUUUGAGGACUACUGUGGCCAGAGCAUGAAGCACAGGAAGGGAGACAUAAUUUGUUUCCCAAAUAAUUAAACUUUAAACAAUAAUAAAAAAGUAAGAAAUAUAGCACCAACUACCAGGCACUAUUUUAAGUACUUAGUCCUAUUUUACAAACCAACACUCAGAAACAGAGAGCCUGAGCAAGGGGCUGAGAAAGGAUUUAAACGUAAGUUUAAAAGUUGUGAAAAUUAAAAAAAGAAAAACUCAUUUAGAAUGAAGUCGGGAGGCCAGGAUGGGCAGUUCUCAUGCCCUACUAUUCCCGGUGAUUGCAGACCCAACAGGGAGAGGGGCUGCUUGCAAGUCAAUAGCACUUUACUCUCCUUCGCUACAUUUAAGAAAAGGUUUUCUCCUCCACCUUGGCAACAGCCCAGCCAAUGAGAGACCGUCACAAUCAGCCAAUCAGAAGCCAGUAUACUGUGACCUCUCCGUUUAAUCCAACGGACUUUCCGUUUGUAACAGCCCUUCCCAACUGUCCCCUUUCCUCUAUAAAAGAGCUUUCCUCUCCUUUACUGUGUGCACUUUGCUAUGGUUUUGCCAGUACAUGUUCGUUCUGGGUGUGUAGUUAGGAUGGUUGCACAGGAUAGAAGAGUACAGGAAGUUAAACAGUGUUGUUAAACGGGGGAAGGCGCUGCUUGUAAAGACAUGUACACUAAUAUCAAAUCGGAAUGCUGGAAUUCAUGGGAUCGGAGGUCUGGAGUGAAGACCGUUGUUUGCAGCGUGGGCUCUGGUAAAGAGACAGAGAGGGCCCUGGGCUGUUAGAGCGUCUUGCCGGCUUCAGUUCCACCUUCGAGCAGGGCAGCCUCCACCCUGCCUCUUUGUCUCGCACGUUUCAGAAGAGUCUAUGAAGGUGAAGGUGGUUAGCGCUACAUUGGAAUGUUGAAUUCUGAGGAAAACUCCUAAGGAACUAGGACCAAGCUAAUAUGGCCAGAGGACAAGUGCAUGUGCCUUGGAGGCUAGGAUGUUCUAGUCUGUGCAGACUGUGAGGAGAGACCCAAAGCCACCAGAGUGCAGGUUUCUGCCCUCGAGGGGCUGACAGUCACAGCUAAGAAAAAAUACGCACUUGGAAGACUUGAGGUUUAGCAUCACAAAGAAGCAGGAACAUUCAAGUGUAAACUCAACACUCAACAAAGAAGCAGAGACUAGCACUGGGCUGGCCUCUGAACAGCGGCACACAGCAAAACUAAGAAUCUCCUCUAAGGAGAAGUCCUACUCUGCACGUAUGACAGACAAGUGACACAGCAGGACGAAUGCACAAUGCACAGAGUGACGAUAUUCCACAGAACAGGAAAACUCUCAUGAUCCAGGUCGAAGCCUAAGAAACCAACUCUAGGUACACUGUGAUCACCUACAGUGUGCUUUACUUUAGAAGGCUGUUGUGAAGAUCAAAUGAGAGGAUAUGUAUGUAAUGAUUUUGAAACUGCCCAACAUUCAAGAAGCUACUCAAAAUCUUUUACACAGGGAUGCCCAGCCAGCUUGACUCCCCACGCAUGAGGACACAGCCUUGGAGAAUGGAGUACGGACUUCAGCCUCUUCAAACCACACCCACAUAUAUCAUUGGAGAAAUGCCCUUAUGUUGGGAUAAGAUUGCAGAUAAUUUAUGACAUUUUGCACUGGUUUACUACUAUUCCAAUAAACUCAGAAAUGUACUA